rnacentral:rRNA from 1 species
AACACUGGGACUGAGAACUGCCCAGACUCCUACGGGAGGCUGCAGUCGAGAAUCAUUCGCAAUGGGCGAAAGCCUGACGAUGCGACGCCGUGUGAGCGAUGAAGGCCUUAGGGUCGUAAAGCUCUUUCGCUUUGGAACAAGAGAAGCUGACGAAUAAUCAGUUAAUUUGAGGGUACCAGGUAAAGAAGCACCGGCUAACUC